GAUGAACGCUAGCGACAGGCUUAACACAUGCAAGUCGAGGGGCAGCACGGGAGUAGCAAUACAACUGGUGGCGACCGGCGCACGGGUGAGUAACGCGUAUGCAACCUACCUAUCAGAGGGGAAUAACCCGGCGAAAGUCGGACUAAUACCGCAUAAAACAGGGGCACCGCAUGGUGAUAGUUGUUAAAGAAAUUCGCUGAUAGAUGGGCAUGCGUUCCAUUAGGUAGUUGGUGAGGUAACGGCUCACCAAGCCGACGAUGGAUAGGGGAACUGAGAGGUUGGUCCCCCACACUGGUACUGAGACACGGACCAGACUCCUACGGGAGGCAGCAGUGAGGAAUAUUGGUCAAUGGGCGGGAGCCUGAACCAGCCAAGUCGCGUGAAGGAAGAAGGAUCUAUGGUUCGUAAACUUCUUUUGCAGGGGAAUGAAGUGCAGGACGUGUCCUGUUUUGUAUGUACCCUGAGAAUAAGGAUCGGCUAACUCCGUGCCAGCAGCCGCCGUAA
rnacentral:rRNA from 1 species